rnacentral:rRNA from 1 species
UACGUAGGGGGCUAGCGUUGUCCGGAAUCAUUGGGCGUAAAGCGCGUGUAGGCGGUCCGGUAAGUCCGCUGUGAAAGUCGGGGGCUCAACCCUGGGAUGCCGGUGGAUACUGUCGGGCUCGAGUCCGGAAGAGGAGUGUGGAAUUCCUGGUGUAGCGGUGAAAUGCACAGAUAUCAGGAGGAACACCGGUGGCGAAGGCGGUCAUCUGGGCCAAUACUGACGCUGAGGAGCGAAAGCGUGGGGAGCGAACAGG